GCAGAAGCUGAGGAGAUUCAAGGCCAUGUGAUACCAGAUUAGGUCCUGCGUGACGUGUUACUAGGGGAAAUAGCUGAGCCACCAGAAAAGUCACAGCCAGAUCUUUCCAUAUCCGUGCAAAUAGAGCUGAUGCCAAAAGGUGAUCAGAAGAUGAAGGAACCUCAAGAAACUUGCCCCCUACCAAAGUCAAGUCCUUUAAAUAAGUGAGUUUAAGAAAUACUUGCUGGAAACCUUAACAAUGGAAUUCGGUAUGUAAAUUAGUUUCAACAGGCUAAGCUCUGAGAAAGACUCUCUCAUCCGCACCUGUGAACCAUAGCAAAAAACUGCUGUUAAUUCUGAGAGGUGUAUGUCUCGGGACAGAGUCCUGAUAACACAGUGACUACUAUAAAGCUACGUUCGUACAAAUGUUUUAAGGAGUGCUCUGUUUUCUGUCACAUCAAGAAGUUAUCGCUGACAGGAUGCCUCGCUGGAAGUGAAAUCUCAACACUAGGGACCGUCCGUGGUGCAUUUACACAUGCCCAGUUUCUACUACGAAUGACUAUCAGUACUCCUACGUAUCAAUUGAAGAGAUUACUAGUCCUGUUACGGCUUUUUCAGAACUGCUGGGAGCAAAGCAUCAAUCUCCAUUUCCAUAGAGCUAGGCACAAGAAAAAGGAGGAUGUAGUGUAUUUUCAGACAUCGGGGGAGCAAGAGCAAGCAUAACAUGCCCUCUGUUACAUCGAUGGAUAAGCCAAGUCCUCUGGAAUAUCUUCACUAAGGACCGUUACUUUGCAUGAGCUACUGUGGUCAGUCAGCCGUAAUGCGUAUGACUUUCCAAAGGUGCUGUCAAGCAACAUGUGCUGGCCUACAGCCAGCUCUGAGAGGGGGCUUUGAAUGAACCGUGGUUCCACAGGACAAUAAAUCUGAUUUUAGUGCACCUAGGACUGAGUCA
rnacentral:lncRNA from 1 species